UACGUAGGGUGCGAGCGUUUGUCCGGAAUUAUUGGGCGUAAAGAGCUUGUAGGCGGUUUGUCGCGUCUGCUGUGAAAUUUCGGGGCUCAACCCCGAACUUGCAGUGGGUACGGGCAGACUAGAGUGUGGUAGGGGAGACUGGAAUUCCUGGUGUAGCGGUGAAAUGCGCAGAUAUCAGAAAGAACACCCGUGGCGAAGGCGGCUCUCUGGGACGGUACUGACGCUGAGACGCGAAAGCGUGGGGAGCGAACAGG
rnacentral:rRNA from 1 species